rnacentral:rRNA from 1 species
AUUGAACGCUGGCGGCAUGCCUUACACAUGCAAGUCGAACGGCAGCACGGGAGCAAUCCUGGUGGCGAGUGGCGAACGGGUGAGUAAUAUAUCGGAACGUGCCCAGUCGUGGGGGAUAACGUAGCGAAAGCUACGCUAAUACCGCAUACGAUCUACGGAUGAAAGCGGGGGAUCGCAAGACCUCGCGCGAUUGGAGCGGCCGAUAUCAGAUUAGGUAGUUGGUGAGGUAAAGGCUCACCAAGCCGACGAUCUGUAGCUGGUCUGAGAGGACGACCAGCCACACUGGGACUGAGACACGGCCCAGACUCCUACGGAGGCAGCAGUGGGGAAUUUUUGGACAAUGGGCGCAAGCCUGAUCCAGCAAUGCCGCGUGCAGGAUGAAGGCCUU